rnacentral:rRNA from 1 species
GCAGCCGCCACGGUAAUACAGAGGGUGCGAGCGUUAAUCGGAUUUACUGGGCGUAAAGCGUGCGUAGGCGGCUUUUUAAGUCGGAUGUGAAAUCCCUGAGCUUAACUUAGGAAUUGCAUUCGAUACUGGGAAGCUAUAGUAUGGGAGAGGAUGGUAGAAUUCCAGGUGUAGCGGUGAAAUGCGUAGAGAUCUGGAGGAAUACCGAUGGCGAAGGCAGCCAUCUGGCCUAAUACUGACGCUGAGGUACGAAAGCAUGGGGAGCAAACAGGAUUAGAUACCCGUGUAGUCCCUGUCUCUUAUAC